UACGUAGGGGGCUAGCGUUGUCCGGAAUCAUUGGGCGUAAAGAGCGUGUAGGCGGCCCGGUAAGUCCGCUGUAAAAGUCAAAGGCUCAACCUUUGAAUGUCAGUGGAUACUGCCGGGCUAGAGUCCGGAAGAGGCGAGUGGAACUCCUGGUGUAGCGGUGGAAUGCGCAGAUAUCAGGAAGAACACCAACGGCGAAGGCAGCUCGCUAGGACGGUACUUACGCUGAGACGCGAAAGCGUGGGGAGCGAACAGG
rnacentral:rRNA from 1 species